rnacentral:rRNA from 1 species
AUGCAUUGCUCCGCCGUGCUCUUGUUCCUCCUCGUCCUCCCCCGACCCCGUCCAGCCGCGGCCGUCGGCGCCUCCGCCCCCGCCCCCGCCCCCGCCCCCGGCAGGAGCAUGAGCAUCACGCCGUCCCCCCUCCUGCCGUGCCUGGAGGAGGUGCUGCCGUGCACGGCGUACCUCAAGUCGGCGGGGCGCCCCGCGCCGACGUGCUGCACCGCCCUGAGCCGCGCUGCGGCCACCGAGAUGCCGUGCAUCUGCCAGCUGCUCGCCGACCCGGGGAUGCUCGCCGACUUCAACGUCACCAGAGAGCAGGCGCUGGCGCUGCCCGCACGCUGCCGCCUCCCCGUCGGCUGCCGCGACAGCUCCGUCGGCACGCCCGACCCAGGUCAGUUCCCGCCGACGUGCGACGCGCGUCUCAGCCAUAAUUUGCAAGGAAUCUGA